rnacentral:lncRNA from 1 species
AAAAUAAGGGUAAAAAUAUUAAGUUGAAAAUAGUAUAGGGACUGCAACUGGAAUUUAACUUAAAAUUUAAAUUUAAAAAAAUAAAUAAUUUUUGCUUGCUAGACUAAAGAAAAAGAAAAAGUAAUGGCUAUAAAUUGAGUGUAGCAGAAGGCCCAUUGAUAUUAAAUUAUAGCCACAAAUGUCAAAUACUCCACCAGAUAUUAUUUAAAAUUACUUUUUUUAAAGAUUUUAUUAAAUAACUACAAUUUGUCAACGGUCCUAUACAAGAUAUAUUUUUAAAUUUUUGUCCUGAUUUUUUAGAUAAUUAAAUUUUAACCCGGGCCCACGUUAGAACCAAAACCCAAAAUAAAUAUCAAAUUAUUAAACCAAAAGUCCAAAGAAUGAAACCAAACUAAUAGUCUGUCAUAAAGGUCCAAAUAUUACAACCAAUAACAAUGCCCCAUAACCCAAAUACAACGGCCCAAUAAUUGGAACAGACCCAAACGACCCCAAAAAUUGAGCCAAGUUUCGGCAAACCCUAAGUCACCCCUCUCUCCUGCGCCGCAACAACAACUGGGCAAUAGACCCAUACCUCCACUACAGCAGUCCCAUACCCCCACAGCCCUCGUACGCCACGCCCCCACCCCGUGCGCAUGCCAGCAGACUCUGUACCUGCAAGAAAGAAACAAAAACAGCAGCGAAUGGAAACAAAUAUAUUGUAUAUUUUCGGUUGAUUUCCUUUUUCGACUAUAAAAGCCCAGCUUUUAAUCUUUGUAAGUGGGGGGCAUACACACAUACAUUAUACGAAAAUUGAAUAGAAAAAUUUAAAAACAAUUUCUGAAGAGGUGAUCUUUCUUAGUCUUUUUAAUUUUUCUGUCAUUUUAUUUUUUUUCCAUCGAUUGUUUUCAUCAUUUUCAUUCUAAAACAAAGAAGGGGAAAAAGCAAACCUUACCUUGCGAAACAGCCAUGGAUCUGUUCACUUCGUUGAGAUUGAGGUUGGAAAAGUCCUAAGGCGCCGUUGAUUGUUGUUGAUAUGCUAUCGACCACCCGAUUAAGUGGUGGAAUCGGUGGUUGCUGGAACAGACCUUAAUAAGUUGAUUUUCUAAAGCUGUGAAUUUUGGCUAAAUGAUGGCUGCGUUUGGGAAAAGAAAGAAAAAAAAGGGUUUUAAAACCUAAUUAUCAAACGGCACCGUUUAUAAUGAAAAAGCCCCGCGUGUUGGCCCAUUUCGCAAGCCUGAUCUGCACAUUCCUACACAAAAAUGGGGAAUUUGUGCGAUGAAUCAUUCCUAUCGCACCAUGCUUUCAAUUGCGCCCCAGUUUAAUUACCUUUUUUUUUUUGGCCUUAUAAUUUGUGCGUCUUUUCACUUCGAUCCGCGAUUCAGUCCAGCAUUGUAAGCGCGGGAUAUUUAUCAUUCUAGUCCCCGCAUAUUUGUGCGCAUGGCACAUUAACCCUAUUUUGCA